rnacentral:rRNA from 1 species
GUGCCAGCAGCCGCGGUAAUACGGAGGGGGCCAGCGUUGUUCGGAAUUAUUGGGCGUAAAGGGCGCGUAGGCGGCCAAGUGAGUCGGACGUGAAAUCCCUCGGCUCAACCGGGGAACUGCGUCCGAUACUGCUUGGCUUGAGUCCUGGAGAGGGUAGUGGAAUUCCCAGUGUAGCGGUGAAAUGCGUAGAUACUGGGAGGAACACCAGUGGCGAAGGCGGCUACCUGGACAGCGACUGACGCUGAGGCGCGAAAGCUAGGGGAGCAAACAGGAUUAGAUACCCUGGUAGUCCUAGCUGUAAACGAUGGGCACUUGGUGUGGGGAGAAUUGACCCUCUCUGUGCCGGAGUUAACACGUUAAGUGCGCCGCCUGGGGAGUACGGCCGCAAGGCUAAAACUCAAAGAAAUUGACGGGGGCCCGCACAAGCGGAGGAGCAUGUGGCUCAAUUCGAUGCAACGCGAAGAACCUUACCAGGGUUUGACAUUCAGCUGCAAGUUUGCCGAAAGGCAGACCGCCUUCGAGGGUGCUGAACAGGUGCUGCAUGGCUGUCGUCAGUUCGUGCCGUGAGGUGUCGGGUUAAGUCCCUCAACGAACGCAACCCCUGUGUUUAGUUGCGACUACAGAUGAUGAGUCUGUAAGCACUCUAGACAGACUGCCCGUUUACGCGGGAGGAAGGUGGGGAUGACGUCAAGUCAGUAUGGCCUUUAUAUCCUGGGCUGCACACGUGCUACAAUGGUCGGUACAGAAGGAAGCAAUACCGCGAGGUGGAGCAAAUCCCCAAAACCGGCCCCAGUUCAGAUUGGAGUCUGCAACUCGACUCCAUGAAGUCGGAUUCGCUAGUAACGGCGUAUCAGCUACGGCGCCGUGAAUACGUUCCCGGGCCUUGUACACACCGCCCGUCACAUCAUGAAAGCCGUCUGCACCCGAAGUCACUGAGCUAACCCGCAAGGGGAGCAGGUGCCUAAGGUGUGGGUGGUGAUUGGGAUGAAGUCGUAACAAGGUAACC